UCCCUGGUGGACAAGUGGCUUGCAUGUGGCACUCUCACCGCCGCGGCCCAGGUUCGAUUCCUCGUCAGGGAA